AACGAACGCUGGCGGCAGGCUUAACACAUGCAAGUCGAACGGGCGUAGCAAUACGUCAGUGGCGGACGGGUGAGUAACACGUGGGAAUAUGCCUUUCGGUUCGGAACAACUCGGGGAAACCCGUGCUAAUUCCGGAUACGCCCUUACGGGGAAAGAUUUAUCGCCGAAAGAUUAGCCCGCGUUGGAUUAGCUAGUUGGUGAGGUAAAGGCUCACCAAGGCGACGAUCCAUAGCUGGUUUGAGAGAACGACCAGCCACACUGGGACUGAGACACGGCCCAGACUCCUACGGGAGGCAGCAGUGGGGAAUCUUGGACAAUGGGCGCAAGCCUGAUCCAGCCAUGCCGCGUGAGUGAUGAAGGCCUUGGGUUG
rnacentral:rRNA from 1 species